AACGCAAAUGGCGCUUUCGGGAUAGGCCUGGAAGCACGUGUCUUUGAGUAUCGAUUAAACAACACCUCGACGGCGUGCUUUGUGAAAACGAGGCGUGCGCAGUCGGACUUUGAGCCUUUCUCAGUGACUUGAGUGGCUUUAAAUGGAGCGAGUUGUGGGACUGGUGACUGUUUGGGAGGUAUAAUCCUCUCAUAGGCUUGUGUCGAGGCUGAGACCUUUAACUGGCUAGAGUCGCUGGCGACGUGGAUAAUUUCGCAAACUCUGUGAAUCUUCCAAACGUUGACAGGCAGACGGACCCAGGGUCGAAAGCCGGCGCUUGCUCCGAUAAGCAGUUGCGUAAGCUUCUCGCGACGGACCGUUUGGCAUGGUCGCAAGGCUGUGUUAAACACUCUCUGAAAUUAGAUCUCAAAUGAGACGAGAAAACCCGCCGAACUUAA
rnacentral:misc_RNA from 1 species